UCGGUAGUGCGGAGCACGGAUAAGGUACCUGGAUGCGCACUCCAUUUGAUCAAAAUUUGAAGUGUGCAUCCGUGCAUGCUCCGACUGGGAAAAAUCCCAUAAUUCAUUUCGAGAAAAACUGUUAGAAGAACAACGACAAUGGCGGAUGACGGACAUGAGGUUGUUCCUCCUGAGGCCUUCUACAAAUGGACAGAUGAUGACACAAGAUCCCUUGUGCUUUGGCGGCGGGACAAUGAGGCCCUCUUCACGGGCAAAAGAAAUGCCGCCAAGGGAGGAUGGGAGCAGUUUAUCAGUAACACAGGCCUGCAAGGGAGGGUAUCAGCUGCCCAAGCAAAGAAAAAAUGGGAAAACCUGAAAAAAAGUACGAGGUAUGUAUCUGUAAUGUGUACAUAUGAAGUUUGACCUGGUCAGUAUUUCAAAAACAGAAUCUGUUUCAAUCAAUUUUGUGGAUAUAAUGAUGAUCGAUUAUAUUUUGUCAUAAUGCACGUUUGCUUGUUUACUUUAUGUAGUUAAUAAAAUUUGAAAGACAUUUGUGGUCAGUAUACCAUUGCUUGUCUCUUUAGGUGCUAAAGAACCCCCCACAGGGGUCAGCACAGAAGGGGGUGAGACCACUGCUGCAUCCUGGCGGUGGUUUGCCAUGAUGGAUGAGGCAAUCGAGGGGAGGCCGUCCAUUACGCCUCCUGUCCUGAUUGCCUCAGCCAGUGGUGAAGGGGAUACAGUGGUGGUCUCCCCUCAAAGCAGAAGGCAGGAGAGGGCAGGCGGCAGCAGGAAACGGAGGAACUCCGACCUGUUGGAGUUCCUCCAGAGGUAGGCUGAGGUGGAGGAGGAGAGAGAGAGGGAGGCAUUAGAGAGGGAGAGGCAGAGGGAAGUGGAAGCCUUGCAGAGGGAGGAGAGGAGAGAAGCCCGUGAGAGAGAGGAGAGGAGGGAGUUUCUGGGCCACUUUCUGGCCAUGUUUGAGAAAUAUGCUAAUAAAUAAUUAUUUUAA